rnacentral:rRNA from 1 species
CAGAGGGGGCAAGCGUUAUUCGGAAUUAUUGGGCGUAAAGGGCGCGUAGGCGGCCUUUCAAGUGACGGGUGAAAUCCCUCGGCUUAACCGAGGAACUGCCUGUCAGACUGGAAGGCUUGAGACCGGGGGAGGUGAGUGGAAUUCCCAGUGUAGCGGUGAAAUGCGUAGAUAUUGGGAGGAACACCAGUGGCGAAGGCGGCUCACUGGACCGGAACUGACGCUGAUGCGCGAAAGCGUGGGGAGCAAACAGGAUUAGAUACCCUGGUAGUCCACGCCGUAAACGAUGAGUGCUUGGUGUAGCGGGUAUCGACCCCUGCUGUGCCGAAGUCAACACAUUAAGCACUCCGCCUGGGGAGUACGGUCGCAAGACUG